GGGGAGAACGUGAAGUAGCCUGCACAUUCCAGUACCAGGACCAAACAGAGCCUACCAAGUGGUCACAUUUUUAAAAAGUUUCUUACAAAACUGAGCCAAGCAUGAACGGAGCAGUCAUUAAUUUAGACCACAAGCAGACCAGCCACUGUAUCUCACCUAAUACCUGCGGAUGAAAGAACUAUGUUCCUGUAUUCACCUCCACAUCUUCUUUACAGACUUACUGUUC